rnacentral:lncRNA from 1 species
UUGAUAAUUGAGGUGUAAUAGCAUAGUAACAUGAGUGACUUCUAGAAGCAAUUGAUUAGCUAGCAUAAUUGAAGAUUCUUAUCAACAAUGUUACUAAUAAUACACUAAUAAAACAAAAGGGUAUACUAGUAAUUUCCACAUUAAUAAAUGAUUUCUUUUUAAUUCUUAUUUAUUAUACCAAAUGUCCAAUAUGUCCCUCCUUAUUUGGGCUUAAAUUUGGGUCACCAUUUUCAUCUUUUGGGCUAUCAAUAAAUAAUAUAUUGGACUUAAAAUUUAAUUCUUUGGGCCAUGUAAAUUAACAUAGUCCAACACUCUUAAUUCUUAUCCAACCCAAAUCAUUUAAUUAGGGUUUUCAUUUUCCUCAAUUAUAACUUAAAUCCUUACUCAUGCACAUUUAUUUCCUUAACCCAAUUAGACUUGCUAAAAUUAGGUUAUAAAAUUAAUUAACUGAGAUGUAUAAAAUAA